UCAAACUUGGUCAUUUAGAGGAAGUAAAAGUCGUAACAAGGUUUCCGUAGGUGAACCUGCGGAAGGAUCAUUAAUAAAUGUGAAGAGCGGGAGGGCUCGGGUAGAACCGGGCGCUCCCGCAUCUCAAACCCCCUGCGAGAGCGUAACUUGUUGCUUCGGCGUGCUGUGGCUCUUGCCCGCCGCCAGAAGGUUGCUGAAACUCGUCUCAACCGUGAAGUCAGAGUUCUUUUAAUAAAAAUUUAAAACUUUCAACAACGGAUCUCUUGGUUCUCGCAUCGAUGAAGAACGCAGC
rnacentral:misc_RNA from 1 species